UACGUAGGUGGCAAGCGUUAUCCGGAAUUAUUGGGCGUAAAGCGCUCGCAGGCGGUUUCUUAAGUCUGAUGUGAAAGCCCACGGCUCAACCGUGGAGGGUCAUUGGAAACUGGGAGACUUGAGUGCAGAAGAGGAGAGUGGAAUUCCUGGUGUAGCGGUGAAAUGCGCAGAUAUCAGGAAGAACACCCGUGGCGAAGGCGGCUCUCUGGGACGGUACUGACGCUGAGACGCGAAAGCGUGGGGAGCGAACAGG
rnacentral:rRNA from 1 species